rnacentral:sRNA from 1 species
ACCUCAAACAUGUUAUUGCUUGGCUUGACUUAGUGACUUCUGAUCACAUCUCAUAUGUU